CGGCAGCGCGGGGGCAACCCUGGCGGCGAGCGGCGGACGGGUGAGUAAUGCAUCGGAACGUAUCCCGUAGUGGGGGACAACCCAGCGAAAGCUGGGCUAAUACCGCAUAUGCUCUACGGAGGAAAGCGGGGGACCUGUGAGGGCCUCGUGCUAGGGGAGCGGCCGAUGUCCGAUUAGCUAGUUGGUGGGGUAAAGGCUUACCAAGGCGACGAUCGGUAGCUGGUCUGAGAGGAUGAUCAGCCACACUGGGACUGAGACACGGCCCAGACUCC
rnacentral:rRNA from 1 species